rnacentral:lncRNA from 1 species
UAGCCUAAAAGCCUCCCUCCAAAUAUUAAUAGCAAUCCUUUCCAACAGAUUUUUCCCUUUUCUUUUCUCUUUUUUAAAACUUUCUGGUACUGGGGAUUGUGGUACAUAGAGGGAGCUAGGGGGAGGUAUAAUAUUUGACCUGAUUUGUGUUGUAAGUUGCAAUUCUGGUAGUAAUAAUUUUUUUAUUUACCAACAAAAAAAUCCUUUGCCUAUUCAUGUGAAAUCUUUUUCUUUCGGUAGUUUAGUCAGUACGUACUUCCUCAUCCUAAUUUAUGU